AGCUUUGUGCAGUGGCAGUAUCAUAGACAAUGAGGUUUAUCCAAGGCAUAAUUAUUGCUAAUUAAAAGACAAAAGAAAAUCCAAAGUUAUAAUCCAUGAUAGCAAAGAAGUGAUGGUGAGUGCCUCUCAAUGCAU
ensembl:snRNA U4 U4 spliceosomal RNA